rnacentral:tRNA from 1 species
GACUUCGUAGCUCAGCUGGUAGAGCAAAUGACUCUUAAUCAUUGGGUCGAGGGUUCGAAUCCCUCCGAGGUCACAA